CAAUAGCGUAUAUUAAAAUUGUUGCGGUUAAAAAGCUCGUGGUUGGAUUUUUGCUGAGGACGACCGGUCCGCCUCCUGGGCGAGUAUCUGGCUCUGCCUUGGCAUCUUCUUGGAGAACGUAACUGCACUUGACUGUGUGGUGCGGUAACCAGGACUUUUACUUUGAGGAAAUUAGAGUGUUUCAAGCAGGCGUGCGCCUUGAAUACAUUAGCAUGGAAUAAUAAGAUAGGACCUUAGUUCUAUUUUGUCGGUUUCUAGAGCUGGGGUAAAGAUUAAUAGGGAUAGUUGGGGGCAUUCGUAUUUAACUGUCAGAGGUGAAAUUCUUGGAUUUGUUAAAGACGGAUUACUGCGAAAGCAUUUGCCAAGGAUGUUUUCAUUGA
rnacentral:rRNA from 1 species